rnacentral:rRNA from 1 species
GAUGAACGCUGGCGGCGUGCCUAAUACAUGCAAGUCGAGCGAACGGACGAGAAGCUUGCUUUUCUGAUGUUAGCGGCGGACGGGUGAGUAACACGUGGAUAACCUACCUAUAAGACUGGGAUAACUUCGGGAAACCGGAGCUAAUACCGGAUAAUAUUUUGAACCGCAUGGUUCAAAAGUGAAAGACGGUCUUGCUGUCACUUAUAGAUGGAUCCGCGCUGCAUUAGCUAGUUGGUAAGGUAACGGCUUACCAAGGCAACGAUGCAUAGCCGACCUGAGAGGGUGAUCAGCCACACUGGAACUGAGACACGGUCCAGACUACUACGGGAGGCAGCAGUAGGGAAUCUUCCGCAAUGGGCGAAAGCCUGACGGAGCAACGCCGCGUGAGUGAUGAAGGUCUUCGGAUCGUAAAACUCUGUUAUUAGGGAAGAACAUAUGUGUAAGUAACUUUGCACAUCUUGACGGUACCUAAUCAGAAAGCCACGGCUAACUACGUG